GCAACAUCAUCUACGAUCGCCAAGAUAUGGAAGCUGCCUAACUGUCCAUCCAUAGAUGAAUGGAUAAAAAAGAGUGUGAGCAGGGGAAGAACAGAGAGAAAAGGAGACACAGAAUCCGAAGCAGGCUCCAGGCUCUGAGCUGUCAGCACAGAGCCCGACAUGGGGCUCAAACCCACGGACUACGAGAUCAUGACCCGAGCUGAAGUGGGACGCUCAACCGACUGAGCCACCCAGGCGCCCCCCAAUUUUUUUUUUUUAAAGAAAGGAUUUUCUACCUGGAAUGCCCUCCUUCCCUUGACUCAUUCUUUGAAAUGAGUUCAGCUCAACAUCACCCCUCCUCUGAAUGCUGUCCCAGUGCUUUUCACAUCCAGUGACUUCCUUGUUCUGUGUGCCGCACUUGAGAAGGCACUCAGGUAUUAUCAAUUCUAAAAAGACUGCCAGCCUAUCACAAAUCCACAUGAAGUCCAGAGCCUUGAUACAGUUUUCCUGAAUUUUCUCAUCAGCUUAUAUCUAGACAAACUGAUAAUUGGGCAGGGGAUGAGUAUCUAUGACUCUUUUUUCCCUCUUGCCUCUUUCUCUCUUCCACCCCCCUCCCCCCAGCAGUCUUCUCCAUCUUGUCCAUCCCUCUGUCCUCUCUUCCAGGGCCCUGACUCCAACCUGGAAAUAGAAAGGGAAGGUUAUGAUGCCCAUUGCUCUUGGCCAUGCUGGAGGGGUAGCCACUGAUUUCUAUGCCUCCACCCCCCUGGGCCAUCCCCUAGAAUGGCGCCUGCGCCAUUGUUGGCCCAUAAUGGAUAUGCUGAAUAACAGACAUAAAAAAUUGCUCAAGCCAUUUGGAUUCUCCCAGGUGGAAAAUACAUUAGAUUUAUAAAGGUUUUUUUAAAAUUUUUUCCCCAUUUUUUUCUGUUGAUGAUAUUUCUAACCUCUUAGCACAACUUUGACAUGUAGUAUAGCGGACAUGUAUGAUUUUCCUUCACCAAGCCAGAGCAAUGACAAUAUUGCAUUCCCUGCAUGCGUGGACCCCCCUCCAAGUCAAUGAAUGUGACACUUCUGCUCUAUGUGAACUAUAGAUAAAGCAAUAUUGUUCUCUACCAGACGGUUCUAAGCUGGUUGGAUAUAACCCCAGAGCAGCCUGCGGCCCCCGUGCCACCCCACCCCGUGGGAAGGACCUAACUAAGAAAAAAUUUCAAAAAGAAGAAGGCACAAUAAGAGAUGGAGAGACUGUCUCUUUGGCUUGAGAUGUAGCGUCAACCAUGCCUGAAGCUAAGUUCUGCCUGGACUUCCCAGUCUUGAGAGCCAAUAAAUUUCCUUUGUCACUUAA